ensembl:lncRNA
AAAAAAUGUGUUGCCUCUUCAGGGCCUAUCAGCACCUUCCCUGACUCAGAGAAGUUUCUGAGAUUAAAAGCCUAAAAGUCUUCAAGUUGUGACAGGAAAAGUGAAUGUGUUUCACAGGGUCCCAGUAGUCUCCCUAUGCCAGGAUCAAACAAGUGGAGAUCACUCGCAGUUAACUUGCAGGUUCCCUAUGAUCUCUGACAGAGUUUCUGGGCCAGGCCUACUGUCCCAGUAGAGGCUCGCAGCCCUCCAGGGGCUUUUACAGGCAAAGCAGGAGCAUGGCUCUUCCUGCCCAGAGGGUCUGUGUUCUCGUGCAUUUCCUACUCCACUGAGGUCUUCAGAAAGCAAGUGACCAAGCUCAGCUUUCAGCUUUUAACAAUUUAGUUCUCUGACUGGUUUUUUUUGUUUGUUUGUUUGUUUUUGGCAUUGAUGAAGAACUUGCUUGUUUUGGACUGAGUGGUUGUCUCUGAACUGUUACCCAAUACAUACACUUGCAAGUGUGGCUCCCUGUGACAUUUUUGCUAAGCUAAUCAGUUCCAGCUGGUAAAGCUUAAUAAACGUUACUCCUUUGCUGUGCAGGGCCUGAGGUCUUUCUGCUAAGGAAGGGGAGGAUGCAAAUUGAAUUUUGGAAGAAGUUUUCUGCAGAAUCAUAACUUAAUUCAACCUUUAACCCUUGAUAUUUCAUACUAAAAUGAUUCAUUAAAAACAAGAAAAUGAACACCUCUACUUUUAUUAACAAUAAUUGUAUUUCUUUCCCCCUCAAAAAAACACAUUUACUUACAUGUCUGGGGAAAACACACACUUGGACUGCCACUACAGGCAAGAGUCUGCCAUUCCUCAUACCUUCAACCCAUUCUGCUGCCAACCCAAUAUUUAGCGUUCCUUACUGAUAAGUGUAAUCAUACAGCAUUGGAUUUUGGCUGCUCUCUGGGGCAUUCCCUCUUCCCAUUGUUUUGUGGUGACUGAUAACCAGAUUUUAAACUAAAAGAAGAACAGGGAAGAUGGUUCACAGAUCCCUGGUGCAGAAGUGAGAGCUUAACAGACUCUUCUUGCAUCACAGGAAGAAGCAUUUCAUCCCAGAAAUGUUUAUUUGUCAUCAACAAUGAUUAACAAUUUGAGUUUUGCUCAUUAAGGACUCCCCAGCCAAACUUCAGCUUUUUCCUGUAUAUUGCUUCAAUUCUUCCAUUUGGCAUUUUGGCAGCCUAUUAACACUAGUAAAGUAUUGUUAUGAAAACAUAUCAAGUUGUUCUUCUUAGACUACCAUCAGUCUGAUAUGAAGUACAGUAAAGUCCAAUCUGGACUUCAAGUUUACUUCUAAAUAUCAAAACAUGAUACAGUCUGUGAAAUUCAAUAAAUUAAACUGGAAUGGAAU